rnacentral:tRNA from 1 species
CAAAAAAGCUCAUUUGAUUCUGUAACUAAUUAUCCUC